rnacentral:rRNA from 1 species
UACAGAGGUCUCAAGCGUUGUUCGGAUUCAUUGGGCGUAAAGGGUGCGUAGGUGGCGCUGUAAGUCGGGUGUGAAAUUUCGGAGCUUAACUCCGAAACUGCAUUCGAUACUGCGGUGCUUGAGGACUGGAGAGGAGAACUGGAAUUCAUGGUGUAGCGUGAAAUGCGUAGAGAUCAUGAGGAAGACCGUGGCGAAGGCGGGUCUCGUGGACAGUUCCUGACACUGAGGCACGAAGGCCAGGGGAGCAAACGGG